rnacentral:rRNA from 1 species
UACGUAGGGUGCGAGCGUUGUCCGGAAUUAUUGGGCGUAAAGAGCUCGUAGGCGGUCUGUCGCGUCGAUCGUGAAAACUUGGGGCUUAACCCUGAGCUUGCGGUCGAUACGGGCAUGACUGGAGUUCGGCAGGGGAGACUGGAAUUCCUGGUGUAGCGGUGAAAUGCGCAGAUAUCUGGAGGAACACCGGUGGCGAAGGCGGCAUCCUGGACCGACACUGACACUGAGGAGCGAAAGCCAGGGGAGCAAACGGG